rnacentral:sRNA from 1 species
UGACGCCUAAAUAUUUGACCUUCGGGGCC